CUCUCUACUCUCACCAUUAUUCCCCGCAUUAUUCCCGCAUUAUCAAAAUUUCUUAUUUGAGGGUUCUUCUUCUCAAUCUCUGAGAUUUGGGGAUUUCUGUGUUAUCAAUAUCGAUGUCAAUGGCAAUCAUCGAGUCAGUUUCUCAUCAACAUGAGCCGGAUGAUCCCGAUUUUGAAAUUCCAGAUCUUGAUAGUGACAAGCAAAGUGAGAAAUUCAAACAUAAACCUGAAGAAGACAAAACAGAAAGGUAUGAGUUUGAGGUAGAGGAAGCUGUAGGAAAUUGGGUUGAUGAGUGUAAGAUUAGUCGCAAUUCCAUCCCAGAUACUUCGGAUGAGGAUGAGGAUCCUGUUAUUACAAGAGACAGGAAAAUUAGGUUGGGAACAACAAAUGAUAGGUUAGCUAUUGGAAGAACAUUCUUCACCGGUUUUGAAUUCAAAGAAGUUGUGUUACAUUAUGCAUUGAGGAAUAUAGCAAAUCUGAAACAAACCAGGUGGGAGAAGGAGAAAUUAGAGUUUAAGUGUGCUGGGAAGAAGAACUGCUGCUGGAAGGUCUAUUGCUCAUACGAUAAUACUAGACUUUUGUGAUUGUGAAGACUGUAUGUUUAGAGCAUACAUGUACUCCUAAUGGAAAAUGCAAGCUCCUUAAAAGACCAGUGAUUGCAAUGUUGUUUAUGGACAAACUGAGGAUGCAACCUAAGUACAUGCCUCUAGACAUUCAAAGGCAUAUCAAGGAGCAAUGGAAAAUAUCUAGUACUAUUGGACAAUGUCAGACCGGAAGACUUAUAGCACUCAAGUGGUUAAAAGAUGAAUAUGAUCAGCAAUUCGCUCACCUCCGAGGAUAUGUUGCUGAAAUCAUAAGCUCCAACCCGGGAUCUACUGCCAUUGUUGAUACUAUAACUGAUGGUGUUGGAAAUCAUGUCUUCAAUCGGAUAUAUGUGUGUCUUGCAGCAAUGAAGAAUGCAUUCUACUUUUGCAGAUCACUCAUUGGGAUAGAUGGAACCUUCUUGAAGCAUGCAGUUAAAGGUUGUCUUUUCACCGCUAUUGCUCAUGAUGCAAACAACCAGAUUUACCCCAUAGCUUGGGCAACGGUUCAAACUGAGAAUAGAGACAAUUGGCUUUGGUUUCUAAAUCAGCUGAAGGUUGACUUGAAUCUCAAAGAUGGCACUGCUUAUGUUAUUAUAUCAGAUCGAUGCAAGGGAUUGUUUAGUGCAGUUAAAACAGCAUUGCCAAAUGCUGAACACAGACCUUGUGUGAAGCAUAUAGUAGAAAACUUGAAGAAGAAACAUGCAAAUAAGGAUUUAUUGAAGAAGCAUGUAUGGAACUUAGCUUGGAGUUAUAGCUAUGAAGAAUACAAGACUAACUUGGCAAUGUUAAGAGCUUAUAAUAUAUCUUUGUAUGAAGAUGUCAUGAAGGAGAACCCAAAGUCUUGGUGUAGAGCAUUUUUCAUUCUCGGCAAUUUUUGUGAAGAUGUGGACAACAAUGCAACAGAAUCGUUUAAUGCAACAGUUGUCAAAGCUAGAGCAAAAUCAUUGGUUCCUAUGAUGGAAACAAUACGAAGACAAGCAAUGACAAGAAUAAGUAAGAGAAAGGCAAAGAUUGGCAGAUGGAAGAAAAAUAUAUUUGAGUAUGUUUCAGAUAUUCUGGCUGAGGAGGAAGAAGAUGCUUUGAGAUGUGAAGUCACCAAAGGGACACAUGGGCAGUUUGAGGUUUGGGUUGAUGGGAACUCAAACUCUGUGAAUUUGACUACUAAAUUAUGGGAUUGCUCAUGCUGCAAGUGGCAAAUCACAGGGAUUCCAUGUGAACAUGUCUAUGCAGCAAUAAUGGAUAUCGGUAAGGAUGUGGAAGAUUUUGUAGUUCCAAUGUUUAGUACUCAAGUGUGGAAAGAACAGUAUGAUACAGCGCCAAGUCCAGUUAGAGGGCAACGUUAUUGGAUGACCAAUGAUUACGUUUUAAUAACCGCACCUCCAGAACCAAAUCCACCAGGAAGAAAGAAAGGGCAGAAGAAGAAUUAUAAUCGGAUCAAGAGUCCACUCGAGUCACCCAAGAAGAAAAAGUAGAAAAAGAUGGACAUGUGGUUCUUAAAUUAGGACGGAAAGGAAGAACAAUGCACUGCAAAUUAUGUGGUGAAGCAGGACAUAAUGCCGCUGGAUGUAAAAAAUUUCCAAGGGAGAAGAAGCCUAGGAAGAAGAGUAAGAAGAAUAUGGAAAUAACUCUGUUUGCUGAGCAAGGUGGAUCUUCAUCUAAGAAAAAGAAGAGUAAAAAGAAGAGUAAGAAAUCAUAACCAUCAUUUGUCUUCUCCUCACAAACC